GGGCAGGGGAAUAGAGAGUUGUUUCAUAGGUAUAAAAUUUUAGUUUUGCAAGUUGAGAAGAGUUCUGGAGGUUGGCUUCAUAACAAGGUGGAGGUACUUAACACUACGGACUUUACACUUAAAAAUAGUUAAGACAGUAAAUUGUAUAUUAUGUGUAUGUUACAGCAACUUAAAACAUCUUCAUCGAUCAAUCACUGUGAAAAUAUACUGGAAGAUGGAACGUGGGAAAAGGGAUUUAUAAAAUCUCACUGAAUGUCUUUUGAAAGCUUACAGACCAAAUUUAUAUAUAAUAUUUUAGUGCUGGGCAAAUGAUCAACUGUGUUAACGACUAAAUGCAUCUAAAAUAUAGCAGCUUAAAAAUCUGCUGAAGACUUACUGUAUUACUAGAAAUGAAUCAAAAUGAUAUUACUCAAUGUUGGCAAUAUUUUGGGGAAAUAGCUAUCCUAAUAUACAUUACCAUUAUACUAUUGUUUUAUUACAAUUUUAUUAUAUAUCGACACUUUUUUUUUUUUUCUUAAUUUCUGGAGAAGAAUGUGGCAACGUGCAAUGAGAUCUUUUAUUUCCUCAACCUGGUUAUUCUACUUUGGUGAAUUUACUCAUUCAAUGAAUAGUCACUAAACAUUUACCUUUGAUAAAUGGAGGUUCUGGGUGUGGUGAACACAGUGGCGAUUGACGUCCACAUCAUCCUUGCCCUCAGAGCUUACAGUCUUAGAGGGAAAAACAGACACAGUCCUGGGUGUAAGGGACAUAUAUUAUUUGGUACCGAGCGUCCAUAUUUCCAUUUUCUUUUUUCUUUUUUUAAUUUUUAAAAAAUGUUUUGUUGAUUCUUGAGAGAAAGAGAGAGCAUGAGUGAGGGAGGGGCACAGUGAGAGAGGGACACAGAAUCUGAAGCAGACUCCAGGCUGUGAGCCAUCAGCACAGAGCCCAACGCGGGGCUCGAACUCACCAGCCGUGAGAUCAUGACGUGAGUGGAAGUUGGACGCUCAACCAACUGAGCCACCCAGGCGCCCCCGUAUUUCCAUUUUCUGAUAACAAUAGUCCAAAUCGUCCUUAGGAAACAUCUUUCCUCAUUUCUACCAUGUGAAUGAAUUGACCACUCACCCAUCCAUACCUACAAAUAUAAGUCUAUCCUUGUAUUUUACCCUUCUGGCCUCUGUGAUUGGUUCGGAGAUGGCACAUAACUCGUGUGGAGCCAAUGAGAUGAAUAAAGAUGUUUGCCGGGCUUUCUGAAAAUACUAUGUUUCUUUCUCCUGUAUUAUGAAGGUGUGAGGUUUCCAGCUGCCGCCACCAUCACGAUUCCCGGGGGCAUGUCCAGACGGAGGAUGAAAUCGACUUCUAGAGAAAGGCAGAGCAAAAACAAUUAGAGAAAUGGAUGGUGUCCUCUGAGCCUCUGGAUUGAAGGACCUGCAGCCAGCUCUCUCCUCGGACUUUCAGUUGUGUCAGCCAUAAUUUUUUAAAAAGAUGAAGACUGUGUCACAAGUUUCCGGUACUCCCAACUGAAUUCCAAAUAAAAUUGACGACCGGCUCUUGGCAAAAGAUUUCCCAAAGACAUUUUCAUGCACGCUUGUCUAUUUAUUUAUUGGCCAUGGGAUUCGCCACCAUUGGGCGAGUGGGUCAGUGGAAGGUCUGCCUGUCCUGAGGCAUCUCUUGGCAUCUGACCCAUGGUCCUGCAAUGUGAGUUGUGCAGUUGGCGCCCAGUAUGGAGCCUUUUGCUUUCUGUCCUUCACAAGCUGGGAUGAUAUAUCUUCUACGACAGGAUAAAGAAGCCAUCCUGAGUGUUGGAUACCCAGUCCUGGCGAGGUAGCAUCUUACCGAGGACAGCAAUGGUGGCCAUGUCUCCCAAGACAGCACAAUCUUUCCCAGAGACAGGAAAACAUAAGAUGAAUCUCACCAAGGCCAAGGAGAGAAGAUCGCCCACUCCCUUACUGCUCCAAACCUAGAGGCACAAGGCUAGAGUUGCCAAGAAAGUUACUGUAUUGACAGGCUUCACGUUUCAGUUCUGGCUUGCCGCUGGUCAUCUAAACACUCUUUGGUACACUGAGGAACCGAACGGCCAUCAGCACCGAGGGAGAGAACAGAAGUGUGGUCGUUGGCUGAGUGGAACACACGAGACGGAACCUGGACUGCUCCACCCAACCCAUGGAAGUUUCCUUGGGGAAGAAGAAAAUUGCAGAGAAGGGGCUGUUUUCCUGUUUUCUCGGGACAUCCCCGAGGGUGGAGGUGAGGGACAUGAUGUAGCAUAACAAAAAUGUUAUGUUUCUUAAAUGUUUGUUUUAUGUUUUCUCAAAUGUUUGUUUUGGAAGCGAGAGAGCAUGAAUGGGGCAGGGGCAACGAGACAGAGAGAGAGAGAGGGAGACAGAGGAUUCAAAGUGGGCUCUGUGCUGACAGCAGAGAGCCCAAUGUGGGGCCUGAACUCACAAACCGUGAGAUUAUCACCUGGGCUGAAAUCAGGAGUUUGGACGCUGAACCAACUGAGCCACCCAGGCACCCUCUCCCUCUUUUGGUCCAUAAAUGUGGACUCCGUGAGUGUAACUGUCCUAUCGAAGAAGGCUGAAACUCUCUUUUUCCCUCUCCCAAACGGAAUGAAGAGCAGCUCUUUAAAUUUCUAACGCAUCUGUGAAAUACGGUGUGGUGGAACGGACGGAGAUCUUAGAGCUGGAAUACCCGGAUUUGAACCCGGGCUCUGUGAUCUUUCAUUUGAUGGUUUGUUGGUUUAAUUUAAGUUUUUGUUUCAACCCCAGCUGGUUAACGGACGGCGUUAGAUUGGUUUCAGGUGUACAAUAUGGUGACUCGACAGUAUUGAACUUGUACGGACCACGUGCCAAAGGGACGUGAGUUUCAGUGCUAACUCUGCCACUAAGCACGGUGUGAUGUGAGCAAACGCUUUCCUCUCACCUCUCCCUGCGAAGCGCUGUUUUUAACGUUGCAGUGUUUAAUGCAUUUAUUGUCAUUACCAUGCAACCCAGUCCUUAAUUCUAUCGUCGCAUCUGGGUUUGUCUUUUCUCUUGAGCUCAGCUAGAAGCCCCUGGAGAGACAGGCCCAUGUUUUAGGACCACCCGUUCUGCAAGAUGCUGGGGGUGCACUUACGCUCAGCACAUACAGAGUACCUGAGGAAGGGCCUGGUGACAAAGGAAAAGACCUUCGUUCCCCUCACACGUGACUACCUAUCAGUGACCUAAAAUGUCUGGUAACCACUUCUUGGGACUCCGGGACUGCACAGACCCUUGGGGUGUCCAUGAGCAUCACCGAGAAAACACAGAUUUGGGGCCCACCGCACCACUGCGAAACACGUAGCAAGACUUUCCCCCUCAGCCCACCAGAUUGCUUUUUUAAUUGGUUGAAGUUGGUAGGCUUUAAAUCAUAACAAGAGGAUACAAGUUGGUUAUAACACAGCAAUUUAAAUGUAGGCACAACUGUGAUGUCUGAAUUACAAAUGGUGUGCUUACGAUGCUGCAUUUUUCUGGAGCGUGGGAGCCCAGCCCAGGACCGCCUGGCCGGUGCUGAUAAAGAACCACGGCUAUACCCAGUUAGCGGGAAGAGAAGGGGGUCCCCAGGCCGUCACUCCUGACAAGGUGGGGCGGAGCCGGUAAGCUGCCAGGACCCUGCCAGCCCCCACCCCAAUCUUCAAGGGAGGAGGAGGAGAUACUGUAGAUAUGAUAGCCACCCGAGGCUCAACGUCUACUGAGCAGUAGUAUGAUGCCAAGUCCUGCUGUUAGUAGUGAGAAUUCAGGAAAGAAUGAGAUAGUUCCUUGUAGGUUCUAAAUCAUUUAGUGAUUCAGGGUCAGUUGAGAGAUUGGGUGGAUGUUUCUUUCUGUCUCUCUGUCUCUCUCUCUCUCUCUCUCACACACACACACACACACACACACACACACACAGACUCAAUCAUCACAGUGAGGGUGAUUAGUAGCACUGACUCUAGAGGUUGGGAAGGGGAAGUGCCAAGAGUUUCAGGAAGAGCAGGAUCGAUGUGAGCUCUCUGCCUUCCAGGCUUUGCCCCGGGCUAGCAAACAGAAAAGAUCUACCUUGAACAUGGGCAGUUACCUGGUGACCUAUGGAAGGUCGACACUCUCUGUGCUUUCCCAAAAGAAAGCGUCAUUAACCAUCUGGCUUCUGUCACUUGUGCUUUCCAGAUUGGCUCUGGGAGGAUCUGCACCCGCCCCCGUCCCCACCUGCUCUGCAGAAGUCCCAAGGUCAGAGUCUCAGGGUCAAAAGACCACUAUUGGUUCACCCAUGUCCACUCCCCCAUCAGAUACCAGCCUUGCCGUCAUCACUGCUUGGCUAAAUUGUUGACCUGGUUCUGGUCACCAGGGUGCAACGUCACCUACUGUGGUUGUCACUCGCUGUAGCUGGUUCCAGAAAUGCUUGGCUUUGAGAAUUGGAAAGUCCUUUCCUGCUUCCCCGUGGUUUCCUCCCGUCCACGGAUUAUCUGGCCCUGUGAUCAACGCAACCUCAGGAUGUCCGAUACCCCCGGAAGUCUGCCUGUCUGAAAGAAGGAGAACGUGGAAAAAAGAAAGAGCUGUAGAUCCGACAGGGUAAAGACAGGUCUCCAGAAAAGCUCAAUUUCUCCUUUUUCAGAAGAAGAGGUGUUUCCCAACGGAGCAAACAUCAGUAGGGAAAGGUGAACUGCAGGGGAUUCUCAGAGGUAAGUUUCCCUCCUACCUGUGGGGUUCCAGCCCACGGACUCUUGUCGUUUACUGUUUGCUCUCUCCUCCAACCUGAUGUCUCAGGUUGGAGGCCAUCUGAAACAGAGCGCUCGGCUGUGAGGCUAAUGGUUUUGCCGGCAGAUCACCACCCCCGUGUGGAGAUCACCAUCUCAUUUCCUCGGAACGGCUGUCUUCCGUGCUUCCUUGGGGGUCCGAGAGCAGGGACUGCAGGCAGAUAGUUCCUCCCUCGGCUUUGCUAUCUUCUCUACUCUGCCUGGGGCUGGAUCACUCUGUGUGAGCUUGCUCGCUCUCCCAGGACUCUGUUAAAAGGGAAGCAUAGAAGACUGCAUCGGGGUCUAGCCAGAGGUGCAGAAUCACUGAGCAGGAACGCCUGUAUAAUCUUCCGGACACAGUGCAAAGUGCAAAUGCAAGGGUUCUUGUUCAAAAAUUCCAAAUUCCAAGAUGGUAGCAGCCGAGCAUCCAGAGCAGGGUACUUCUAAGUAAGGGCCUGGCGUGGGUCGCACCACCGGGAAGCUGGAGGUCUACCUCUGGAGGGGAAUCCAGAGGAAAGUGGAACAGUUUCAAACCCACCCUAAUGGACGCCUUUGG